CUCUGCAUGAACAUUGAGGUUGCUCCAGUUGAUCUUGGUUGAGCUCAGAAGCUAAACAGGGAGAGGUUUGGUUAGUUCUUGGGUGGGGCACAGCCUAGGAAUGCCUGGUACUGCAAACU
rnacentral:rRNA from 1 species